AAGGUUGUGGUUGGCACGGCCACAGCGGCAGCAGACGCGUCUGGCUCUGCCUGUCUGUGCCGAGCGCUGGCGAUCGGAGCCACCCGACCUUGUUCUGAGGCUGGGUACCAAGCUCCCGUCGCUGUCAACUCUGAGAGUGAUCCCAGAUUCAAACCCAGAUCCUUCUGCCAGGCAGAAGCACGGGUUUGAAGAUGGAUUUUACCGGAAAAGGAAAGACCACUGAAGGGAAAGGCCUAUCUGGCUACCCUCUUGCCAAGAGGUUUUCCUUGGCAAGUCCGUCAAUGCUCCUUCCCUCCAAGCCGUUGCUGCCCAUCCUGAGGAGCUCUCCUUCUGCCAAGACAAGCAAAAUGUGCCAUGGAGAGCAGGAGACAGGGAAAUCUGGCGGCGGCCUGGAUGAGGAGAGGAGCAAAACACAGGAGCUAAAUUCUGAGGGAAAAGGACAUAAGACCUCCUUGCUGUAUUCCACGGGCGGGGAAAUGAAGAAGAGACCAUUGGGAAAAUCUUUGAUCCCCCGUCUACGGAAGGCAGGAAUUCCUCCUGUUGGCACUGCUGCUGGGUCUCUGUGCAGCUCUCCCCAGAUGGAUUUGCAGGAGUCCCGUGAG